rnacentral:rRNA from 1 species
AUGACGGAGGCUGCUCUUCUUCUUGUCACAACAAAGAUCGGAAUAGCUGUGGCAGCAGAAACGCUUCACUACACUAAGUCUGUUGCAAAACUCUCAGAGAACAUGCCACUGAUAAGAAAUGACCUAGAGCUUAUUCGAGCAUUUCUCAAGGAGAUUGGAAGGAAAGCUUCGACAGAUGGAGUCACCGAAACAUGGAUAGGGCAAGUCCGAAGAUUGGCUUAUGAUAUGGAAGACCUUGUGGAUCAAUUUAUGUAUGUUGUUGGCAAACACAAUCAGAAAGGAUCAUGGUGGAGUAGUGUGAAGAAAAUCGUGAAGAAACCCCAGUAUCUGUUUACGCUAGGUGAAAUUGAUACUGCUCUUGAGAGAAUAAACCGAGUGCUUAUACGUCUUAGACAAAACAGAGACUGGACUCAACCAAUAGCUGGUGCGGGCGAUGUUUUUGAACUAAAUUAUGACAGCCAACAGCAAUUAUAUCUUCCUGGACAUGAUUACUCAAUCUCUGAUGAUGAACUUGUAGGAUUUGAUAAAAAAUAG